ACGCUCGACACCUACUGGAGGCAGCAGUGGGGAAUAUUGCGCAAUGGGGGAAACCCUGAUGCAGCGACGCCGCGUGAGCGAAGAAGUAUUUCGGUAUGUAAAGCUCUAUCAGCAGGGAAGAAACUGACGGUACCUGACUAAGAAGCACCGGCUAAAUACGUGCCAGCAGCCGCGGUAAUCUGAGGCGGCUGGCAAGGCU
rnacentral:rRNA from 1 species